GCCCUUGAGUUUGAUCAUGGCUCAGGACGAACGCUGGCGGCGUGCCUAACACAUGCAAGUCGAACGAAGCUCGAAGCUUUGAGAUUUCGGUCAAGAAGCCUAGAUGACUUAGUGGCGAACGGGUGAGUAAUGCGUGAGCAACCUGCCUUUCAGAGGGGGACAACAGCUGGAAACGGCUGCUAAUACCGCAUAAUAUAUUUCCUAGGCAUCUGGGGGAUAUCAAAGGAGUGAUCCGCUGAAAGAUGGGCUCACGUCUGAUUAGCUAGUUGGUGAGGUAACGGCUCACCAAGGCGACGAUCAGUAGCCGGUCUGAGAGGAUGAACGGCCACAUUGGGACUGAGAUACGGCCCAGACUCCUACGGGAGGCAGCAGUGGGGAAUAUUGGGCAAUGGGCGAAAGCCUGACCCAGCAACGCCGCGUGAAGGAAGAAGGCUUUCGGGUUGUAAACUUCUUUUAUCAGGGACGAAGUGAGUGACGGUACCUGAUGAAUAAGCUCCGGCUAACUACGUGCCAGCAGCCGCGGUAAUACGUAGGGAGCAAGCGUUGUCCGGAUUUACUGGGUGUAAAGGGAAGGGC
rnacentral:rRNA from 1 species